rnacentral:rRNA from 1 species
UACGAAGGGUGCAAGCGUUACUCGGAAUUACUGGGCGUAAAGCGUGCGUAGGUGGUUUGUUAAGUCUGUUGUGAAAUCCCCGAGCUCAACUUGGGAAUUGCAAUGGAUACUGGCAGGCUCGAGUAUGGUAGAGGAAGGUGGAAUUCCCGGUGUAGCAGUGAAAUGCGUAGAGAUCGGGAGGAACACCAGUGGCGAAGGCGGCCUUCUGGACCAAUACUGACGCUCAUGAACGAAAGCGUGGGGAGCAAACAGG